rnacentral:misc_RNA from 1 species
GCAAACUUGGUCAUUUAGAGGAAGUAAAAGUUGUAACAAGGUUUCCGUAGGUGAACCUGCGGAAGGAUCAUUAAAGUGUGUGGGGGAUGUGGAUUGGGUGGGGGGUGGUGAGAGUGGUGAUGGGUGUGGGGGCUAUGGUCGAUGGCGCGUGGUCAAUGUUGAUUGACUGCGGCCAGUAAGGCCAGACCACACACACACGCACACACACACCCACCCAGCCACAUGAGCGCACGGUGUGGGAGCACCGUGACAUGUGCGCGUACGAUGCAGACCAUGGUGGUGGCAACAACACUUUCGACAAGGAAUCUCUAGGCUCUUGCAUCGAUGAAGAACGCAGC